CAAUCCCUAAACCACCAUGCUGAGAACGAGGUAGGGGGAGAGAAUAUAUCCCAAAGACAGUGUGGGGGAACUUUUUGCAGAGGAAGAGAGGAAAGUUCUGUGUACCAAAUACCAAUUGCUACAUACACUAAAAACAACAAAAACAGUGGACACCUUGAUUCCUCUGGGAUGGAAGAUGAGGAGGCAGAGAGAACAUUUGGGGCCAGCUACCAGCUUAUGGAUGGCCCCUCUUGCCAGUGUGGAGUGAUGCGUGUGGAGAAUGUGCAGGUGUCCAGAGCGGGAGGAGCCGAAUGAGGGGACAGAGCUUGGAAAACCUGGGGGCAAGAAAGACUGGUGGGAAGGAGAAUGGAAGAAAUUGAC